rnacentral:tRNA from 1 species
GCUGUUGUAGCUCAGUGGUAGAGCACUUCCUUGGUAAGGAAGAGGUCGUGAGUUCAACUCUCAUCAACAGCU